rnacentral:lncRNA from 10 species
CGCCAAAGUGCGCCCCUGGGGGCCAGAGGGCCAGAGGCUGGGUCAUAAAGGGCUCUAGUUAAAAGAGGCAAAAGGUGCCAGAGAAACACUAGGGCCUUGUUUUUGUUUGUUGGUUGUGCAUUUUAAUUACUGGGAAGGAAUAAUUGAGCUUCCACUUCUGAGGCGGGGGCUGGUCUAACAAACUCGAGGACCCUUAGCAAUUGGGCAGCGCGAGGUCUCUGCUCCCACCUGCAGAGGACACAGGUACCCGAAGCAGACGCUAGUUCCCCAACUUUUUGAAGCCCCUGCUCAUCCUAUUUGAGAACAGAGGCUAUAUAUUCUGUGAGGAGUUGCCUGUAAGUUUCCCCAGCCACCAGGCGUUCAGUCACUGGCUGCAGAUCCCGCAACCCUCGGGUGUUCAAGUGCGCGGGGUGGUGCGGGCGCUCCCGCAGUCCGCGCUUGGCUCGUGGGAGGCCUCGGGCGCCCCCUCCAGGAUUCCGUGCUAACUGCAAACGAUCGCGCUCGCAGGGAGGCCCCCAGUGCUUGGAAAACUCCAGGAAUCCCUUCAGAGCACUUUAUUUCCAGGCCAGCACGCGGCGCUCUGCAGACCUAGUACUGGGCUGUGGAUAAGGAAGAGCAGAGCGGAUGGGUUACGCCGAGGAUGCCCAGGCUGAGCCUCGGAGUCUGGUGCUCCUGGACUCUGCUGAGGGCUGGGAGGGAAGGACAGGUGCCUUCCUCUGAGCCCGGCUUUGAACAGAUCUGGUACCAAGGCGAGAGGAACAGCUUGAUGACUCUAAUUUCAUAAAGGGACAGUGAGAAACUCGGGUGCUUUGGUGAAAAGGGCUCAUCUGUGUAGUUACUUAGCAAAAUCACAUGGUUCGUAAACGCCAGAUAAGUGUCCUUAUCUGCAAAAUCGGGGUACAAAAGCUUGUGUCACAGGCCAGAUGUGAUGAUUAGAUGAUAAUUAAACUCCCCGCAGUGACUGAUGGAGUCAAUGCUGUUUCCUUCCCCUCAAGUUAAGGAUUUCUGGUAAUUUUUUUCCCCCCUCAAAAAGGUCGGAAGCUUAGCUGAGGAGAGUUUGCAGUACAUGAACUUCUUCCUUCCACUAUGGCAGGUAGGAGUGUGUCAAGAUGUCACAGACUGCGGUCCUAUAAAGGGUCCAUCCUGGAGACAAAGACUCAAGCUCACUUAAAGAAGCUGUUGCCUUUAGUCCAACCUGCAUGGCCUGGGGAAACCCAAGCGUAGAAAUGGCCAUUAAAAUUAAUAUCCCUUAGGUGCUUGGCAGAAGCAGAUAUAAACUUGACAAAGAGACAAGCUUCAAUCCGGGUCUUCCAAGUGCAUCUUCCAAUAAUGCAUUUUCUUUCUCCAUGAAGGUAAACAUUUUAAGUUCAAAUCUCUUCACAUGGGAAGGAAACUCACAUCCAUGAAGAAAUUAUAUCCACGGGGUAGAAGACAGUUUCAUGGAAUCUCAUCAUUUGCAUACCUGUAUAUAGGUGUAGCAGCUGAGGAGAGAUGCCUGGAGCCUACGUUUCCCCAGUGGUCAGAGAGGUUGGUGUAGCCACUCUGGGCAGCCAGGGCCUCAUCUGUCUUUCUUCCUGAGCCAAACUGACCAACUACAUGAAAGUCAAGAUACUUGUCUCUGACAUGGGCAAAGACAUACUUGUCUCCCCAGGCUCAUUUGCAUGAGGCUCCCCACACUUUCAAGGAUAAUGAAGUCUGCACCUCACAGUACGAUGCGGAGCCAUGGCACAGCAAGACACUUCUCUGCCUUUUAUCUCUGCAGAGAAGCUCUGCUUUCUGCUUGGCCUAGCGGCAUGGAACUGGCCUCAAUAGGAUUUGUGAUCCUCAGGAGAAUCUAUUACAGCUGCUUCUCCUUCACCCAGAAGCAAAGCAGGAUCCAGGACACAGCUGCCC